rnacentral:sRNA from 1 species
ACUGCACCUCGAUAGGCGAGGCUCCUGCGUGAACAUAGGCCACUGAUCUGACGACGUCGAGAGACGCCCAAGGUUAGGACAGAUAUCUUCGGAUUAAGGGGAUAUCCAAAGUGGCUUUCCGAUUCGGAACACGUCGCGCAGUGCCAAAGCUCUGACGAGAGGGGUGCGUG